UAUGUACGAUAAUGAUCAAGGACAUCGGAAGCAACUAAAUCUAGAGGAGCAUUAGUUUGUAUACAAAUACCACGUUGUUGUAAGGUGAUAACUGCAUCGCUGGCUAUUAAAGAAAUAUUGGUAAAGUAUUUGAAAACAUUGGAUCGACGAGAGUAUAAUUACUGACAAAAACAUCAACCUCGGACAUCAUUGCGGAGGUUAUGUUCAAAUAUCUGAGAUGUUACAUUCUAUAUAUUUAUUAUUAUUAAUUAUAUAUUUCAUACUAUAUUCAAUGCAUUUAUCAUUUUUUUUUCUAAAUACUUCAUGUUUUUUAGUUUCUAUUAAUUUCUUUCAAAUGCGAAAUGUUAGACAAAUGGCAGUCACAGAAUAACAAAUUUUAUGUACAUUUUAUAUACAUUUUAUAUAUUCAUUUAUUUAUUUAUUUUUUUAACAUUAGUAUUUUCGUUAUCAUAAAUCUCAUUCUCAUUUGUAUUUAUAUAUCAUAUGAACAUAUAUAUAUAUAUAUAUCUAUACACACACACACACAUACACAUAUAUAUACGCAAUUCGAUCGUUAGAAAAUACGAUUAUCGAAUUUACGAGGGUUCGUUUCGAUAAUCGAAACACGAAUAAUAUGUCUACUACCGGUUUCGCGUGGACGAUCGUAUCGUGGAUACUGCUAAUCAAUAUUUUGCUUAUCUCUUUUUACAUACAUAUAUUAAUAAUGAAUCCAUUGUUAAGUUGGUAUAAUAAGAUAAAGCCUUUUAAAGAGAACAAAUUACGAUCGAACUAUUCGUAUGUUAUUAUACAUACAUACGUGAUAUUUUUUUUAACAGUAACGUCGAACUCACGUGCGGAACUUUACGCGCGCGAUUUACAUAGAUUGAGAAGUUUAACAGUGUCCUGUAAAGCAGAAAGUGAUAAAUAAAAACAAAAGUGAAAGUGAACAUCGACGUGGACAUCGACGUGGACAUUGACGUGGACAUCGACAUCGUCAACGAUAUCGUCCAGGAAUUAGAUAUGUAUAGGCGUAUAUCUAUGAUGGGGCAAAUAGGGCAUGUGAUUUGGUCACUAAUGUCAAGAGGUGGGGUGGAGGGUAGGGGAAUAUGAAAAAAUCGAAAGAAAUGGCAGUAGUUCGUCGAAAAGAAUUAAUUUUGACAAAAUUCGAUAAGAAAUGAAUUUGACCGAGGCUUAUACAUAAUU